rnacentral:rRNA from 1 species
AAUCAACGCUGGCGGCGUGCCUCAGACAUGCAAGUCGAACGAUUAAAGCUCUCUUCGGAGAGUGUAUAGAGUGGCGCACGGGUGAGUAACACGUAAGUAGUCUACCCUCGAGUGGGAAGUAACGUCCGGAACGGAACGCUAAUAACCGCAUAAUGCAGCGGCACCGCAAGGUAGACAGUUGUCAAAGGAGAAAUUCGCUUGAGGAGGAGCUUGCGGCAGAUAG